rnacentral:rRNA from 1 species
UACAGAGGGCUCAAGCGUUGUUCGGAUUCAUUGGGCGUAAAGGGUGCGUAGGCGGCGCGGUAAGUCGGGUGGGAAAUCUCGGAGCUUAACUCCGAAACUGCAUUCGAUACUGCCGUGCUUGAGGACUGGAGAGGAGACUGGAAUUUACGGUGUAGCGGUGAAAUGCGUAGAUAUCGUAAGGAAGACCAGUGGCGAAGGCGGGUCUCUGGACAGUUCCUGACGCUGAGGCACGAAGGUCAGGGGAGCAAACGGG